CCUCUACUCUCCUAUAAAUAGCCUCUUCAUCUUCACCAUUUUCAGCACACAAACACCUGCCAAAAUCUCUCAUUCUCUCCCCUCCAUCUCGUCCAAACACUCCCCAAAUGGAAGAAUUCAUCUUCCACUUCAAAACCUUCAAGAUUCUUUAUAAAAGUCCCUAUUUUUCUCUUCUAAAAUCCUCUCUAAAUGCCUCUCUCUCCCUAAAUUCGAGAUUCCCAAAUACACUCAAAGAAAUAACCAUAUAAUCUCUCAAAACUCAGCUCCAAAACUCUCCAAUAACAACCAUGGCAAGCCCAAAGAUUUCCAAGCAAAAACUCCAUGGAUUCUUGGUUUCUUCUCUUCCUUAGCCUUUGAUUUUCAUGGGUUCUCGAAGUAAUCAGAGUGCGCAGCGGAGCGGAGUUUGAGGAAUCACGAACCUUGCGGCCUUGCACGUCUUACCCGGAUUUCGUAAAAGAUCCAUGUUUUCACUUUCGUCUAUAAAAAGGUCUUAUGUAAAAAUGGAGAUUUUUAUUUUACUCUGAUUUAGGAAUCCAGUCUAUUAAACGGGGGUAUUUAAAUCAAGUUUAUUUUCCU